rfam:Triticum aestivum genome assembly, contig: Triticum_aestivum_CS42_TGACv1_scaffold_328858_4BS
AUACUACCCCCUCCGUCCGGAAAUACUUGUCGGAGAAAUGGAUAAAUAUGAAUGUAUCUAGAACUAAAAUACAUCUAGAUACAUCCAUUUCUAUGACAAGUAUUUCCGGAUGGAGGGAGUACAUA